rnacentral:rRNA from 1 species
CCUCAAGUGGUCUUCGGGGUCUAUCAGAUUUAUCAUGUGGUUCGGGCGUCCUUCCCGGUACCCAUACUAUAGUGUAAAAGCAAACGGAGGGUGGGGGUUCCGCGGACGACGUCGAAACAUAAGGUCCCCUUUCAGUUUCAUAUAGGUAGGGGAGUGGAAACCGCCCACAACAUAGAUAAUAGUUGAUGCCCCAGGCAACGUACGGAGGCCGCAGCGUUUUGGUAUUUAUCAGAACUUCAACGUACGCGACCGGCGAAAGUCCAACUCCAGCGGCUAUCCUCCCUCCGCGGGGAAGAACACUUCAAGAUAGCUCUACCGCUUUCAUUUCCUGAAGGAAGGCAAAUGAUAAGCCACCCCGGUGUGGAAACAGCCCCCCCCACCGCAAACUCUAAAUGCGUAAGCCCCCUUUUUAAAUCGUAAACGGUUUUUAACGUCUUUCCACGAACCAUGGUCCUUCGCUCUUCAAUCAUCGGCCCACAAGGUGUGAACCGCCCACGAUGUUAAGAAAGCAGUAUCCUCCCUCUUAGGACACCACAAAUGAUCAAAGUUCCUCUAGACAGCAGGACGGUGGCCAUGGCAGUCCAAACCCAUUAAGGAGUGUGAACCAACUCGCCGGCCGAAUGCACUGACCCUGAAACGGGCUCUACCCUAAGCCUUUCUCCCCAACCUCCACGCCAGGGUUGCACCAGAUUCCAAAU